rnacentral:rRNA from 1 species
GGUUAAGCGACUAAGCGUACACGGUGGAUGCCCUGGCAGUCAGAGGCGAUGAAGGGCGUGCUAAUCUGCGAUAAGCGCCGGUAAGGUGAUAUGAACCGUUAUAACCGGCGAUACCCGAAUGGGGAAACCCAGUGUGACUCGUCACACUAUCAUUAACUGAAUCCAUAGGUUAAUGAGGCGAACCGGGGGAACUGAAACAUCUAAGUACCCCGAGGAAAAGAAAUCAACCGAGAUUCCCCCAGUAGCGGCGAGCGAACGGGGAGGAGCCCAGAGCCUGAAUCAGCAUGUGUGUUAGUGGAAGCGUCUGGAAAGGCGCGCGAUACAGGGUGACAGCCCCGUACACAAAAGCGCAUGUGCUGUGAGCUCGAUGAGUAGGGCGGGACACGUGGUAUCCUGUCUGAAUAUGGGGGGACCAUCCUCCAAGGCUAAAUACUCCUGACUGACCGAUAGUGAACCAGUACCGUGAGGGAAAGGCGAAAAGAACCCCGGCGAGGGGAGUGAAAAAGAACCUGAAACCGUGUACGUACAAGCAGUGGGAGCACAGGUUUACCUGUGUGACUGCGUACCUUUUGUAUAAUGGGUCAGCGACUUAUAUUCUGUAGCAAGGUUAACCGUAUAGGGGAGCCGUAGGGAAACCGAGUCUUAACCGGGCGUUAAGUUGCAGGGUAUAGACCCGAAACCCGGUGAUCUAGCCAUGGGCAGGUUGAAGGUUGGGUAACACUAACUGGAGGACCGAACCGACUAAUGUUGAAAAAUUAGCGGAUGACCUGUGGCUGGGGGUGAAAGGCCAAUCAAACCGGGAGAUAGCUGGUUCUCCCCGAAAGCUAUUUAGGUAGCGCCUCGUGAAUUCAUCUCCGGGGGUAGAGCACUGUUUCGGCUAGGGGGCCAUCCCGGCUUACCAACCCGAUGCAAACUGCGAAUACCGGAGAAUGUUAUCACGGGAGACACACGGCGGGUGCUAACGUCCGUCGUGAAGAGGGAAACAACCCAGACCGCCAGCUAAGGUCCCAAAGUCAUGGUUAAGUGGGAAACGAUGUGGGAAGGCCCAGACAGCCAGGAUGUUGGCUUAGAAGCAGCCAUCAUUUAAAGAAAGCGUAAUAGCUCACUGGUCGAGUCGGCCUGCGCGGAAGAUGUAACGGGGCUAAACCAUGCACCGAAGCUGCGGCAGCGACGCUUAUGCGUUGUUGGGUAGGGGAGCGUUCUGUAAGCCUGUGAAGGUGUGUCGUGAGGCAUGCUGGAGGUAUCAGAAGUGCGAAUGCUGACAUAAGUAACGAUAAAGCGGGUGAAAAGCCCGCUCGCCGGAAGACCAAGGGUUCCUGUCCAACGUUAAUCGGGGCAGGGUGAGUCGACCCCUAAGGCGAGGCCGAAAGGCGUAGUCGAUGGGAAACGGGUUAAUAUUCCCGUACUUGGUGUUACUGCGAAGGGGGGACGGAGAAGGCUAUGUUGGCCGGGCGACGGUUGUCCCGGUUUAAGCGUGUAGGUGUGUGUUCCAGGUAAAUCCGGUUCACUUUAACACUGAGGCGUGAUGACGAGGCACUACGGUGCUGAAGCAACAAAUGCCCUGCUUCCAGGAAAAGCCUCUAAGCAUCAGGUAACAUCAAAUCGUACCCCAAACCGACACAGGUGGUCAGGUAGAGAAUACCAAGGCGCUUGAGAGAACUCGGGUGAAGGAACUAGGCAAAAUGGUGCCGUAACUUCGGGAGAAGGCACGCUGAUAUGUAGGUGAAGUGAUUUACUCAUGGAGCUGAAAUCAGUCGAAGAUACCAGCUGGCUGCAACUGUUUAUUAAAAACACAGCACUGUGCAAACACGAAAGUGGACGUAUACGGUGUGACGCCUGCCCGGUGCCGGAAGGUUAAUUGAUGGGGUCAGCGCAAGCGAAGCUCCUGAUCGAAGCCCCGGUAAACGGCGGCCGUAACUAUAACGGUCCUAAGGUAGCGAAAUUCCUUGUCGGGUAAGUUCCGACCUGCACGAAUGGCGUAAUGAUGGCCAGGCUGUCUCCACCCGAGACUCAGUGAAAUUGAACUCGCUGUGAAGAUGCAGUGUACCCGCGGCAAGACGGAAAGACCCCGUGAACCUUUACUAUAGCUUGACACUGAACAUUGAGCCUUGAUGUGUAGGAUAGGUGGGAGGCUUUGAAGCGUGGACGCCAGUCUGCGUGGAGCCGACCUUGAAAUACCACCCUUUAAUGUUUGAUGUUCUAACGUGGACCCGUAAUCCGGGUUGCGGACAGUGUCUGGUGGGUAGUUUGACUGGGGCGGUCUCCUCCUAAAGAGUAACGGAGGAGCACGAAGGUUGGCUAAUCCUGGUCGGACAUCAGGAGGUUAGUGCAAUGGCAUAAGCCAGCUUGACUGCGAGCGUGACGGCGCGAGCAGGUGCGAAAGCAGGUCAUAGUGAUCCGGUGGUUCUGAAUGGAAGGGCCAUCGCUCAACGGAUAAAAGGUACUCCGGGGAUAACAGGCUGAUACCGCCCAAGAGUUCAUAUCGACGGCGGUGUUUGGCACCUCGAUGUCGGCUCAUCACAUCCUGGGGCUGAAGUAGGUCCCAAGGGUAUGGCUGUUCGCCAUUUAAAGUGGUACGCGAGCUGGGUUUAGAACGUCGUGAGACAGUUCGGUCCCUAUCUGCCGUGGGCGCUGGAGAACUGAGGGGGGCUGCUCCUAGUACGAGAGGACCGGAGUGGACGCAUCACUGGUGUUCGGGUUGUCAUGCCAAUGGCACUGCCCGGUAGCUAAAUGCGGAAAAGAUAAGUGCUGAAAGCAUCUAAGCACGAAACUUGCCCCGAGAUGAGUUCUCCCUGAGACUUAGAGUCUCCUGAAGGAACGUUGAAGACGACGACGUUGAUAGGCCGGGUGUGUAAGCACAGCGAUGCGUUGAGCUAACCGGUACUAAUGAACCGUGAGGCUUAACCUU